rnacentral:rRNA from 1 species
AUUGAACGCUGGCGGCGUGCUUAACACAUGCAAGUCGAUCGGUAACAGGUGUAGCAAUACAUGCUGACGAGAGGCGGACGGGUGAGUAAUGCUUGGGAAUCUGCCUAUUAGUGGGGGACAACCCGGGGAAACUCGGGCUAAUACCGCAUACGCUCUACGGAGGAAAGCCGGGGACCGCAAGGCCUGGCGCUAAUAGAUGAGCCCAAGUCGGAUUAGCUAGUUGGUAGGGAACGGCCUACCAAGGCGACAAUCCGUAGCUGGUCUGAGAGGACGACCAGCCACACCGGAACUGAGACACGGUCCGGACUCCUACGGGAGGCAGCAGUGGGGAAUAUUGGACAAUGGGGGCAACCCUGAUCCAGCGACGCCGCGUGGGUGAAGAAGGCCUGCGGGUUGUAAAGCCCUUUCGGUGGGGAAGAAAAGUCUCGACCUAAUACGUCGGGACCUUGACGUAACCACUAAAGAAGCACCGGCUAACUCUGUGCCAGCAGCCGCCGCAGUAAC